GGCAGCGUCAGAUGUGUAUAAGAGACAGGUGAGUCAUCGAAUCUUUGAACGCACAUUGCACCCAUGGGUAUUCCCAUGGGUAUGCCUGUUUGAGUGUCAUUUAUAUCUCAUCAAAUCAGUUUGAUUGAUGGUCAUGGGCUUGUUUUUUUAACUAGCCUGAAAUGAAUCAAGGGAAAACAUACUUUUCUAAUGGAUACCCAUUAUACACUAGAUAAAGUAGAGUCACACCCUCCAACUCUCAUCUUGGCCUCAAAUCAGGUAGGAAUACCCGCUGAACUUAAGCAUAUCAAUAAGCGGAGG
rnacentral:misc_RNA from 1 species